CAUAUCAAUAAGCGGAGGAAAAGAAACCAACAGGGAUUGCCUCAGUAACGGCGAGUGAAGCGGCAAAAGCUCAAAUUUGAAAUCUAGCACCUUCGGUGUUCGAGUUGUAAUUUGAAGAUGGUAACCUUGGGUUUGGCUCUUGUCUAUGUUCCUUGGAACAGGACGUCAUAGAGGGUGAGAAUCCCGUCUGAUGAGAUGCCCAUUCCUAUGUAAGGUGCUAUCGAAGAGUCGAGUUGUUUGGGAAUGCAGCUCUAAGUGGGUGGUAAAUUCCAUCUAAAGCUAAAUAUUGGCGAGAGACCGAUAGCGAACAAGUACAGUGAUGGAAAGAUGAAAAGAACUUUGAAAAGAGAGUGAAAAAGUACGUGAAAUUGUUGAAAGGGAAGGGCAUUAGAUCAGACUUGGUGUUUUACGAUUAUCUUCUCUUCUUGAGUUGUGCACUCGUAUUUCACUGGGCCAGCAUCGAUUCGGAUGGCAAGAUAAUGGCAGUUGAAUGUGGCUUCACUUCGGUGGAGUGUUAUAGCUUCUGCUGAUAUUGCCUGUCUGGAUCGAGGGCUGCGUCUUUUGACUAGGAUGCUGGCGUAAUGAUCUAAUGCCGCCCGUCUUGAAACA
rnacentral:rRNA from 2 species